rnacentral:rRNA from 1 species
ACUCCUACGGGAGGCAGCAGUGGGAUAAUAUGCAGCAUGGCGACAAGCUGAUGCAGCCAUGCCGCGUGUAUGAAGAAGGCCUUCGGGUUGUAAAGUACUUUCAGCAGUGAGGAAGGUGGAGUCGUUAAUAGCGGCCUCAUUUGACGUUAGCUGCAGAAGAAGCACCGGCUAACUCCGUGCCAGCAGCCGCGGUAAUACGGAGGGUGCGAGCGUUAAUCGGAAUUACUGGGCGUAAAGCGCAUGCAGGUGGUUUGUUAAGUCAGAUGUGAAAGCCC